CGUCCUAUUAGCUAGUUGGUGAGGUAAUGGCUCACCAAGGAUACGAUGGGUAGGGGUUCUUAGUGGAAGGUCCCCCCCACUGGCAUUGAGAUACGGGCCAGACUCCUACGGGAGGCAGCAGUAGGGAAUAUUGGUCAAUGGGCGCAAGCCUGAACCAGCCAUGCCGCGUGCAGGAAGAAGGCUCUUUGAGUUGUAAACUGCUUUUGUACAGGAGCAAAAAAAUCCCUGCGGGGGUUCUUGAGAGUACUGUAAGAAUAAGCACCGGCUAAUUCCGUGCCAGCAGCCGCGGUAAUACGGGAGGUGCAAGCGUUAUCCGGUUUUAUUGGGUUUAAAGGGUGCGUAGGCGGCUUAUUAAGUCAGUUGUGAAAUCCUAGUGCUUAACGCUAGAACUGCGAUUGAUACUAUU
rnacentral:rRNA from 1 species